UGAUGCAGCAACGCCGCGUGAGGGACGACGGCCUUCGGGUUGUAAACCUCUUUUAGCAGGGAAGAAGCGAAAGUGACGGUACCUGCAGAAAAAGCACCGGCUAACUACGUGCCAGCAGCCGCGGUAAUACGUAGGGUGCAAGCGUUGUCCGGAAUUAUUGGGCGUAAAGAGCUCGUAGGCGGUUUGUCGCGUCUGCUGUGAAAUCCCGAGGCUCAACCUCGGGUCUGCAGUGGGUACGGGCAGACUAGAGUGCGGUAGGGGAGAUUGGAAUUCCUGGUGUAGCGGUGGAAUGCGCAGAUAUCAGGAGGAACACCGAUGGCGAAGGCAGAUCUCUGGGCCGCUACUGACGCUGAGGAGCGAAAGGGUGGGGAGCAAACAGGCUUAGAUACCCUGGUAGUCCACCCCGUAAACGUUGGGCGCUAGAUGUGGGGACCAUUCCACGGUUUCCGUGUCGUAGCUAACGCAUUAAGCGCCCCGCCUGGGGAGUACGGCCGCAAGGCUAAAACUCAAAGGAAUUGACGGGGGCCCGCACAAGCGGCGGAGCAUGCGGAUUAAUUCGAUGCAACGCGAAGAACCUUACCAAGGCUUGACAUAUACGAGAACGGGCCAGAAAUGGUCAACUCUUUGGACACUCGUAAACAGGUGGUGCAUGGUUGUCGUCAGCUCGUGUCGUGAGAUGUUGGGUUAAGUCCCGCAACGAGCGCAACCCUCGUUCUAUGUUGCCAGCACGUAAUGGUGGGAACUCAUGGGAUACUGCCGGGGUCAACUCGGAGGAAGGUGGGGACGACGUCAAAUCAUCAUGCCCCUUAUGUCUUGGGCUUCACGCAUGCUACAAUGGCCAGUACAAAGGGCUGCAAUACCGUAAGGUGGAGCGAAUCCCAAAAAGCUGGUCCCAGUUCGGAUUGAGGUCUGCAACUCGACCUCAUGAAGUCGGAGUCGCUAGUAAUCGCAGAUCAGCAACGCUGCGGUGAAUACGUUCCCGGGCCUUGUACACACCGCCCGUCAAGUCAUGAAAGUCGGUAACACCCGAAGCCAGUGGCCUAACCGCAAGGAUGGAGCUGUCUAAGGUGG
rnacentral:rRNA from 1 species